UAUAAUCUAUAACUAUAUUGGAACCCCGUUCCUUCCUGUCCACGUGGCAGCAUUAGCUUAAAACCUGAGUUAAUUAAUGGGUGGACCUACCUGUCAUCUUAAGAUCCACCUAUCUAAAUAAUUUUCUUUUUCUAAUUAAUAGGUGGACCCUACCUGUCAUCUUAGAUGUUUUCCUAAUUUAAUUUUUCCUGCUUCGUCUUCAACCUCCAGCUCCAUCGCGCUCUUCCCUCUAGAUACCGCUCCGAGUACUGUUCCCACUGUGGACGGAAUGUUGGGCAAGUUCGUGGUCGGUUCUUCCCGUCGCGCCCUUUCCAGUUAGCGAGGCCCUAGAUGCCGCUCCGGCUCCCGUUCCCUCUCUGGACGCCGCUCCGGCUUCUGUUCCCUCUCUGGACGAAACCCUAGAUGCCGCUUCGGCUCCCGUUCCCUCUCUGGACGAAAUAUUAGGCCGAGUUCAUUCGGGCUACGAAAAUGCGAUCCCUCCGCGGGCUUCUGGCGAUCCCUCUGUGGGCUUCUAUUUCACCUCGAGGCAGCGGAUCGAGUAGAAGCUUCUCGAUUUCAUUCAGGAGGCCGAGCGUUUUGGAGGUGAGAAAUAGGAAAAAGCAUCUAAAUACUUGAAUACUUUUUUCUUAAAAAAAAAAAAA